GUGCUGGCUUCGGCAGCACAUGUACUAAAAUUGGAACCAAUUUGAGAAGAUUGGCAUGGCCCCUGCGCAAGGAUGACAAAGCAAAUUUGUGAAGCGUGUAUUAUAAUU